UACGUAGGUGGCAAGCGUUGUCCGGAUUUAUUGGGUUUAAAGGGUGCGUAGGCGGCUUUGUAAGUCAGUGGUGAAAUAUGGCAGCUCAACUGUCAAGGUGCCAUUGAUACUGCAGAGCUUGAGUACAGAUGAGGUAGGCGGAAUUGACGGUGUAGCGGUGAAAUGCUUAGAUAUCGUCAAGAACACCUAUAGCGAAGGCAGCUUACUAGCUGUAACUGACGCUGAGGCACGAAAGUGUGGGGAUCAAACAGG
rnacentral:rRNA from 1 species